UGUGCACGCAGAGCUAAGCAUCAGCGAUUAUUUUCAUGGACCUGUGCUACUAGGAUUUACUAACUAGGCUGGCUAGUGGUGUGGGGCUUGAACUUGUGAGAGUAGCUCUUAGAUGAAAGGGGAAAAAAAAAAAAAAAGACAGUCUAAGAGAAUUGGGUUUGUUCAAUCUGGAAAAGAGGAGGCUCUGGGGUGACCUAUUUGAGGCCUUCUGGUACCUGGAGGGAGCCUACAGGAAAAAAAGGAGAGAGACUAUUUACAAGAGCCUGGAGUGACAGGACAAGCGGGAAUGGCUUCAAACUGAGUGGGUUUAGAUUAGGUAUUAGGAAGAAAGUCUUUACUGUGAGGCUGGUGAGGCACUGGAACACAUGGCCCAGAGAAACUGUGGCUUCCCCAUCCCUGGAAGUGUUUAAGGCCAGGUUGGAUGGAGCUCUGAGCUACCUGGUCUAGUGGAAGAUGUCCGUGCCCACAGCAGAGGGGUUGAAAGUAGAUAACUUUUAAGGUCCCUUCUAACCCAAGGCAUUCUGUGAUUCUGCAAAAUGGGAUAAAAGCAUCUGUUAUUGGUGUAUGACUUACAUAACUCAAUUAAAUGUGUAUUAGGGAGGAACAUGUUUUGGCCAUCAAUAUAAACAUUUUUACAACAUUUGGAGGAUGGAUUAGAAGUAAUAUCUGACCUGUGAAGCAUUCAGAGUUUUUAUAUUGUAAAACCAGACUGUGGUUUCCAUUACUUUGGCUCUGGAGUCUGUCACAAUCACUGUGAUCUCUCUAGUGAAUUGAGUUAAUACUUAUUACCAAUACCAGUUAGGCAAUGGACAGUUCCUAGUUAUGGGUGAGUUAGUACUUGACACUGCUAUUUCAACUGUAAGUACAACAGCAUAAAUUAGAAGGGUUGAUUUUUGUAGGAAAGUGAAGUUUUCCCCCUUACUCUGUGUUCUUACUGUAAGAAGCUGUGAGCUGCCAUUCCUCAGAUGCUUUGGGAAAUGUGCCUCACAGUCAUAGAAUCAUAGAAUCAUUAGGGUUGGAAGAGAGCUGCAAGAUCAUUGAGUCCAACCUUUGACCAAACACCGCCUUGUCAACUAAACCAAGUCAUAAAGUAAGGAGGAGAAAUUGGCUGAAAAUCAGGAGUUCACCUCUCAUUCAUGCUAUAGCAAGGUCUGAUGAGAGCACAGCCACAGGAUCAUAGCAAAAGCCUUGAGAGCACAAGUUCAGGACAAUAUCAGCAGCACCAAGAGUGCAAACCUAAACCACAAAUGGUAAAUUACUGGUCAUUAAAAGAAUGUAAGUUCAAGGUGUGCCAAAGUGUUUCUAGGGAACAGCAAAGAAAAUAACAAAUAUGUGAAACACCACAUUUUUGAUGGAAGCACAGAAAAAAUGAUAAAAUAUAAAAAGCAGUUACAUCCUUUUCAGGCAUGGGAAGAAAAGAAGAAGGGAGAAUUGUUCCUGCAUUCCCACUUGGUUAUAGGUAAUGCAUGUUAUCAGUGUUUAUGCUUAACAGUAUCUGUUCUUACCCUUUUUUGGGAACACUGCUUUCUGAAUUUUUCUUCAUCCUGUAUUCCUUCUGCACACUCAGCAAUCACAUGUAAAGGAUUAUCUUCAUAUAUAUAUUUAAAUAAAUUAGAAGCCCAGCAAAUACUGCAUGUGUGUUCUAUGCUGUGACCUUCACACACAGGGUGAGUGAUGCCACAGUACUGGGAAGCAAACUUGGAUGUGAUGCUGUCCAAGAGACAGGUUCAGAGCCAGGGAAGGACAAUGGUCAUUGGUUCAGCUUAUCUUGGAAUUUGCUUUGCAAGCAGAAAGGACAGGCUGGUUGAUUGUCCACUGGUUUUAUUGUGGUUGCUGAAACUUUUUGCUUGCUCUGACAAGAAGGCGGUAAGUAAAUUCACAGAAUGGUUGAUUUUGGAGGGGAAAUCUGGAGCAUCUUUAAGCAUGGUCACCUAGAGAAGGCUGCUGAGGACAUAGCUGGGUUUUGAGUCUCUCCAAGGAUAAGUCACUGAGCUAAAGCUUAGGACUUUUGUCUGUUUAAUUUAUAACAGGUGCAUUGUAAUAAGAGUGUAGGAUUUAGAACUUCUAUUUAUAUCUCCCAAAUCUAAGCCCUAAAUUAUAACCUUGAUUGAAAUUGACAAAUGAUAAUUUAGCUUCUCCUAUUGAAGCUGAGGUCCUGUAGAACAGAUAAAUCAAGAAAGAAGACCUCAUGAUGAGCAGGACUUUGUUUUCUGCAUCUGUAAUUCCACCUGCCUCAGCAGCCUUUGGCAAAAGAUAGAACAUAAUCCUGCCAAACUGGAAACAAAAUCUAUUACCAGUCUAUGAUAGUAUGCUCUCCUUUAUUGUGCUUGCAAUCUAAUUUUGUUAAUAGUUUCUUCUUGCUGCUUAUUGAAAGAAACAGUAUGGAUUGUGUCUUCAGCUUAGCCUUCCCUGGAUCUUCCUACUCUGACAGGACUGCUGAAAGGUCAACAUGAGAGAUGGUGGUGAAAGGAAAGCAUGCGAAGUAGCUUUUCCCUUCUUCACGCUACUUCAUAUAAAGACAUAGACUCCUGGUUGCAGCUUCCCAUAUGGAGUGGAUUAGAAGUGCUGGUAAACUACAACAUCAGGAUGGGGGUUGUGUUUUAGAUACCCAAGAAAGCAAAAGGAAACACCGAAGGUCUGAAAGAGAAUCAAGUGAAUAUUCUGAUAGCAAAUCAACUUCAUAAAUGGAGAGGCAAAGAAACUCUAGGCAAUGAGGAAGACAGCCUAUAGGACAAGAUGUCCAAGAAGGUUAAAACUAAGGGUAUGAAGAGACAUGUUUGGCUUUUAACAGAUUAACAGGUCAUAAUCUUGAUUUAUUUUUUUUUUUAAUGUAAUAAUGUUAUAAUGAGCAAUACAAUGUACUUGCCUCAUUUUAAAUUCAGCAA